rnacentral:rRNA from 1 species
CAGCAGCCACGGUAAUACGUAGGGUGCGAGCGUUAAUCGGAAUUACUGGGCGUAAAGCGUGCGCAGGCGGUUCGUUAAGACAGAUGUGAAAUCCCCGGGCUUAACCUGGGAACUGCAUUUGUGACUGGCGAGCUAGAGUAUGGCAGAGGGGGGUAGAAUUCCACGUGUAGCAGUGAAGUGCGUAGAGAUGUGGAGGAAUACCGAUGGCGAAGGCAGCCCCCUGGGCCAAUACUGACGCUCAUGCACGAAAGCGUGGGGAGCAAACGGGAUUAGAUACCCGGUCCCUGUCUCUUAUACACAU